rnacentral:rRNA from 1 species
AGAGUUUGAUCCUGGCUCAGGAUGAACGCUAGCGGCAGGCUUAACACAUGCAAGUCGAGGGGUAUAGUCCUUCGGGACUAGAGACCGGCGCACGGGUGCGUAACGCGUAUGCAAUCUGCCUUUCACAGAGGGAUAGCCCAGAGAAAUUUGGAUUAAUACCUCAUAGUAUUAUGAAAGGGCAUCCUUUUAUAAUUAAAGUCACAACGGUGAAAGAUGAGCAUGCGUCCCAUUAGCUAGUUGGUAAGGUAACGGCUUACCAAGGCAACGAUGGGUAGGGGUCCUGAGAGGGAGAUCCCCCACACUGGUACUGAGACACGGACCAGACUCCUACGGGAGGCAGCAGUGAGGAAUAUUGGUCAAUGGGCGCAAGCCUGAACCAGCCAUGCCGCGUGCAGGAUGACGGUCCUAUGGAUUGUAAACUGCUUUUGUACGAGAAGAAACACUGAUUCGUGAAUCAGCUUUGACGGUAUCGUAAGAAUAAGGAUCGGCUAACUCCGUGCCAGCAGCCGCGGUAAUA